rnacentral:lncRNA from 1 species
UUUCAGCUAAGCUAUGGCUAUCGGUAGCUUGGCCACGACGAGCUCGGACAUGAACAUAUGGGAGCUUCUCCGCGCCUUCUUCUGAGGUAUCGUUAGCUGAUUUUUUCCCCUUUUUUGUAGUUUCUUUUACCUGAAUUCAGCAGAAAUUAUUCAUCAAACUAAAAUUUGACUGCUCUUUCUAAAAAUCGAAUUUAGAAAUGAAUAGUAAGAGUCACUAUUCUCCUUGUAUCAAAUUGGUGAAAGAUGUUACAACCUAAGUUGGGAUGGACUCUUCACUUUGAUGUUGCACCUGUGACAGAUUCUCCAAAAAUAUACUAUCUUGGGAGAAACAAACACCCAAACGCUAACAUUUUUUAAGAGUCCAAACAAAGUACAAUUUACAACAAACAAUAUGCCACAUACCCAGUAUAAUCCCACAACUAGUGUCGGAGAUAAUAGAAUGUACACAAAACUUACCCCUACCCCUACCUGAGAAGCGGAUAGGCUAAUUCCGACAGACCCCCGGCUUAAGGAAAAGCAUAUCAAAAGGUUGUUUCCGAUAGACUCUCAGCUCAACGAAAAGCAUAUCGAAAGGAUGUUUCAAUAGACACUGAGCUCAACGAAAAGCAUAUCAAAAUACUAUUUCUGAUAGACUUUCAGCUCAACGAAAAGCAUAUCAAAGCAAAUCCAACAACGAAUUAAACUACGAGGUAGAUGGGGUUGAUUAAAAUUACCUUUUUCUCCCUUUCCUUUCUCUUCAUUGAUUUCCGAUCACCCAUCGGAACAGAACUCGCCGGAGAUGAAUUCUGAUUAAACUCAGAAUCCAUAGGUUCUUGCUUAACUAACAACGCUUUCGACCCCGAAUUCGAAAGCGUUGAAUUCGACUCCGGUGAAUUCCCAACACCAUUUCCACCACCACCAGCAGUAGUAGCAAAGACGGAGAACUUCGAUGCUCUAUCAAUCAAAGCAAUAUCCGAUGGAAAAAUCGGAAUUGGAGUCGGAGUGGGACCCAAAGCCGGAGGAGGAUAGUGAUAGUAAGGUACAUUGAUUUUAUCUGAUUCAAUUUUGUUAUCAGUUUCCGGGGUCUGAACUAAUAGCUCUACAGCUUGAUUAGCUGGAAGUCCAAGUAAAGCAGUGAAUGAACUUCCGGGUUCUGAUGUAAUGGGCAAGAUCUCCUCAUCGAAGCUGUUGAAAUCAGUUGGUAUUUCUCCCAUUUUAGCUCCGGAAUUAUCGGAUCUAGAUUUGAUCUUGCUCGCUAACUUUGAUAGCAACAAUAUGUAGUCAAAUUCUGAUAACAAUUUACACUUUAUUGCUACAAAAAAUUGAAGAGAAAAUGGAAAAAGGGGUUAUAGGAACUGAGCUAAACAGAGGUAAAAUGAAGCUUUCUAUUUACUUUUUCUUCUUCUUCUUCUUCUCUAUAGUUUGGUAGCAAUUUUGCGAAGUUUUUUGAGUGCAAUUUUGCAGUAACCACACAAAAUUUGAGUCAAUGAGCUUCAGAACACCAACAAACAAAGAAAAAAAUGAUGGAAAAGAGUGAAAAAGCUGAGCCAAAUAGAGGUAAUUGAAGAUUUCUUGAGUGAAAAUGAAGCUUUACACACUUUUCCUUCUUCUCUCUUUCUUUUAUGUUGCAAUUUUGAGAGCUUCAGGAGCUUCAAUGGCUUCAAGUUUUACACAAACCCCACAAAUUCAACACAAUGAGCUUCCCAACACUAAGAAAAAAUGGAAAAAGGGAGCUAAAAAUACUCAGCUAAACACAAGUAGGUUGAAAUUUAUGAGUGAAAAUGAAGCUUUCUAUAUACUCUUUCUUCUCUCAUCUCUUUUCAAUUCUUCAGAGAUUUUUUUUUCCUUUUUUUUUUUUCUAUGUGGAGCUUAUUUAUUACCACCUUCAAUGGCAGUCAAUAAUAUAUUUUUUUUUUUUGCCUGCAAAUUUCUCUGUACGGUCUUUGUUUUGUUUGUUAUCUUUGACUCUAUAAAAAGAUUUGCCACUUUUUGUGCUCUGCCUUUAAAAAGUAGUAAUUGUAAGUUGCUUUGAUUUUUGUGCACUUACCAAAAUCUUAAGGUACCAAAUUUAAAAUUUUUAUAAUAUAUUAACUCUAGGUGAUAUAUAUAUAUAUAUUUCACGUACCACAACAAUAAUAAGAGGUACGUUGGUAGAUUGUUUAAAUAAAAUAAUAGUAAUCGAUUUGCGUAUUAUUAAUAUUUUAUUAUAAAAAUGUUUUGUUUUUAUUUUAAAUUAUCACAAAAUUAUUGAGACACACUUAAACUUGAGAGGGUUCUAUUAUUUUUGGACUAAUUAAAAUUAUAUUUUUGACAAUCUUAAUGUCUAUAUGGCACAUACAUGAUACAUACGUGUGCUUAUGUGGUACUAUUAACUGUCACUUAAAUAUGAGAUAAAAGAAAUUAUUUCUGGUAGAUUCUCAACUUAAGAUAAAAUAAAAUUAUAAAAAUGAUAUUUCUUUGUAAAAAUUAACCUAUCGGAGUCAAUUGAUAGUUGAUUAGAGUUAUAUGAAUAUCAUUCGUGAAGUAUGAAUUCUAUGAAUCUUUUAUAAAAUUUAAAGUUACAUAAAAGUUUUGAAUAUUUUAGGCCGAAGUUUUAUUUGUCAAAGCUAUAAUACCAUAGUUAUUUUAUGUUUUAGCUAAAAAUAUUUUUGUAGAUAUGUUACUUUUACCUCAAAAAGUAUUAAAAAAAAAAUUAUUAUAAGAAACACUUUAUAAUUGAUUAUUCGAACUUGAUUAUACGAAUAAAAUUUCAAGUUAACAAAUAAUUCAAAUUUUAAAAAGCAGCUCAAUUUGACAACUGAAUAAAUUGUAUUGACAUAAUAAAUCCAUUAUUUUUAUUCAUUAUUUUAGAGGUGCAAUUAAUUCCAAUAAUAUUAGUCAAAAUUAAAAUGAGGGGUUGAAGUAGAGAUACGUUUUUUUUGUUAAAAAGAAAAUAUACAUAAAUAAUUUUGAGAUAAAAUACAGAAUUAUUUAAUUAUAUAUUUGAUUAAAAAUAUUAUUUUCUUCGUUUCAAAAAGAAUCUUUUCUUUUUAGUCCGUUUAAAAAAGAAAGACACUUUUUCUUUUUUGACAAUACUUUAAUUUCAACUUUUCACGUGGCAUAUUUAAGACCACAAAAUUAAAGAAUAUUUUGGUCUAUUUGAUACAACUUUAAUUGAAGGCUAUAAGAUUUAAAAACUUCUUUAUUUUUUUUAAAAUUUUAUGUUAAAUCGAAGUAAGUUAUUCUUUAACAUAAUGAUAAAUAAGUUACUCUCUCUCUGUAUAUAUAAUGAGAUAAAAUCUUUUUGAAAUAAUUUAUUCCCAACCAAAUGAGUAGACAAAAAGGCAUAGUAAAUGGGAUGGGUUUUAUUGUGGGCUCACCAGAUUCUUACCCAACCUGACACUCUUUUAAUUACAGUGGAUGGCCUGUCUUUUUCUUUACAUUUAUGUCAUUUUAUGUUUUCUUGGGUCGGAAAAUUUUAUCUGAAAUAAAUUUUUUUAUUUUCAUAAAUCAGUUUGCAAAAUUAUAUUUGAUAUAUUGUUGUUGUUAUUAUUAUAAGCAAAAUAAUUAUAAGAGUUUGUUAAAUUUUGAGUGAGAUGCUCGAUUAUUGUAUCUGUUGUGUAAAGUAUCUUUGAGUUGUUCUUUAUUCGAAAUGAGCUACUUGAUCUCUUAUAAGUAGUGACACAAAUGUCGAUUAUAUGUCAAAUAUUUUUCUUUUGAGCCGAGAAUAUUUUGAAAAUACAUCCUACUUUCUUUAUACUUCACUUGUGAGAGAUUAUGUUGAGUACGUUGUUGUUGAUACUCUAAGCGGUGAAUUGAUUUCUCAGAUAGCCGCUCAACUAAUAAAAUAAUUAUUUUCUCAAGAAGUUAUUUAUUCGACUCAACCAAAAAAAGCAUAUUGAGAGAAGUAGUUAAGAAGAAGUGUAAUGACUGAGAGUUAUUAAAACUAACAUAUUAAAAAAACAAAAUUAACACAUGAGCAACUAAUAUAUUAUUAAGUAAAAGUGAAUACAACGGUUGUGAAUCGAAUACAACAGCUAAAUGGUAUUCUAUUUAUAUUUAAUAUGAAUACAGAUUAUUGAUAAAAUCGAAUACAGCGGACGUAAAUUGAAUACAGCGGCUAUAAAUGGUAAUUAUAUAAAAUAUGACUAUGAAAAAUGAAUUUUCCAGCAAAAUAUAACUAUUUUUAAGAGAUCCUCUUAAAAAAACAACGAACCUAAAUAACACACGAGCAAUUAAUAUAUUAUAAAGUUUCUUCCUUUUGAUCCAAUUUGUAACCUUAAUUAGCAUAUUCAUUUCAUUAUUUUUCUGAUCAAGCUAGAUAUUAUUAAAAAAAAUAUAUAUCGAAUACACCACCCAUGCCAAAUUAAUAAAAAGAAAUUAUUCUAUUCAAAUUUUAACAAGUAACAUGUGUAACAAGUUAUCCAAGUAUUGUCAUAUGUAUACUCAACUUUUGCUGCAAAAUAGUUAUUAAAGUUAUUAUGAUACCUUCUUAUAGCAUAUGAAUUAAUUAGCAAUUGGACCAAAAUGACAAAAAAAAAAAAAAAAAAAAAAAAAAAAAGGAAUAAAGCUUUUGGACAUUUGGGAAAUAUUCAACACGCAAGCUUAAAUAGAAGGGGGGAUUUUGUCAGAUCAGAAAAGUAAAGGGUUGUCCAGGCAAAUUUGGCAAAAAAAUUCAACUCUUAAGUCUUAGCUUGAAACUAAAUUAUAAUUAUGCCCAUUAAUUUUAUGAGUGCACGAGUAGACCCUUUAAUGCUAUAAAAAUUGAACAAUAAAUCACUUCAAUUUUGUCAUUUACAUGCAUGAAACUCAAUCGAUCCUACGUGAAUUAGUAAACCACUCAGAUGCUGCCACCUAAUAAAAAACACACAUUAUAACUAUGACAUUUAACUUUGGUAGUGCACAAGUAGGCGCUUUAAUUAUACAAAAGCUGAACAAAAAAAACACUUCAAUUCUAACUCUGACGCGUGUAAUUUUGAGUGUUUACACACAUUUUAUCAGGUAGAAUUGGAGUUUUUUUUUGUUCAAUUUUUGUAUAGUUAAAGGGUCUACUUCUGCACUGAUACAAUUAAAGAUCAUAGUUAUAAUAUAGUGUCAAGUUAAAGUUUCUGUUUAUUAAUCUACUCUAUGUCUAGCGAAACAUAAAUUUUGUUAGAAAUUGAAGUCAUGCUUGGACAUAAGCUGUGAAAUAAUAUAACUACAAACAACAUAAAUACUGACACCCAGUAACGGAGCCACAUUGAAUUCAGGGGUUCAUAAAAUUAUACUAAUUUUACAUGAUCAAAAAUAUUUUUAUGUAUAUAUAGUAGACGUGAACCUCCUUUGACUUGUGUAUGUAUUUACUUUUGAACCUCCUCAAUUAAAAUUCUGACUUCGUUACUGCCGACUCCUUGGAGCCUAGUCACGGAAAAUUCUGACAAUUUGCAUAAUUACUGAAAAAUUCAAUCUUGAGUCUGUCGAGAUACACAAUUAGCUUCUGAUACAUCCAAUGAAGAUACAUAGUUAGUUGAAGUAAUUAUUUCGUAAGAGUGAGAAUUUGUAUAAAUAUGAUAAAUUAAGAUGUAUAUUUAUGUUAUUUUUUCAUAUUAUAAUAACAACAAAAACAAAAACAACAUACCCACCAAUAAAGUUUGGGGAGGGGGUAGAGAGGUUGUUUUCCCGAGAACCUCGAUCAAAGUACAAUAAGUCAAAGUAAGAAAGAAGAAAACGGUGAGAAAAGCAUAACAGUUAUUAAGAAAAGCAGUGCAGAACCUACACGAAAGAAACAAUAACAUCAUCAAAAUAAUUUGGCAACUGAAACAUAAUAACAAACAUAUAACGGUAGAUAUCAAAAGUCAAAACUAUAAAAAAUUACAAGUUAUGAAAAAAUAUUAUGAUUUGAAAAUAUAAAUUUAUGCGCUGCAAAAACAGUCAUACCUAUUUGUUAUAAGGGACAACAUACAUGGCCAAAAGUGCAAAUGACCUCCUUAAAAACAGAUUAAAUAGCCCCAAUGAUGGGCCAACUUCUAAUUUGGAUUAGAUUUGGUAAGAUAACAGCCUAAUUGUAGUUUGAGCAUAAGAGCCCAUUUAGCCCAAUCACAGAGUAAUUAAUUAGAGAUAAUGUUUUACUCACCACUUUUUGAUUUAUUUUUGUAAAGAAAAAAAUCAUUAUCUUAAAAUUUUAUUUUUUAUUAGUAAAACUUCAUGACAUUAUGAGCAAGAAGGUAGUUAUUUGUUAAUUUUACUAGAUAAUUUGAUCUUAUAAGUGGAGUUUGUACAGAUCGGGUUCAUGCAAACCUCACUCCUACUUUUGUGAAAAAAAAAUAUAUAUAAAAAAACUCGCUUAUUUAACUUUAUGAAUACGUUAAAUUUGUCUUACCUCGUCGCUCUUUGGAACUAUGAAUGUUAAAGUUGGUCCAAGAAAAUAUAACUCGUCCAAUCUGUUCAUUGGAGGGAGUUGGAAUUGUGCGUAUCUUCAUAGUGAGUAACCUUUUCGCGCAUUAAUAACCCCUUUAUCUACUAAAUUAAUUCAUUUUAACUCGUUUAAAUUUAGAUGAACACGAAAAACGAGCCACUAAAUGACAAACACUCCAUUAUAAAAAUGGCAUUUUUAAAACUAGUGAAAUGUCAUCCAAAGGUGAAUUCCCCCAUUUGUUGGACUUAUUACCAAUUGGAUAGGGUACAAAGUGUAAGAAAUUGACAAUAAUUCAUUGCAAGAACCUACAAGACUGGUGUUUCAUUCUACUUAUUGUCAUCGAUGGAGUCAGGAUUUUUAUUAAGGAGGUUUAGAAGUAAAUAUGUAAACUAAUCGAAGGGAGUUCAAUAUCUAUAAUAUCUACAUAAAAAAUAAUUUUAAAUAUAUGUAAAUAGUAGAAUUUUUCAUCGAAAGAAGUUAGGAUGAACCCAUCGUCUAAGGGUAGCUCCGCCCCUGAUAUUGCAUUAGAGUCAUGGCACAUAUAGCUGUGUAGAACAGAGACAUCUAAGAGCAAUUCAUGUACAUCUUUAGUUUUUCUAUGAAAUUAAUAUUCAAGUGGUCCAAAAAUCAAUUCUAUAUUUUGUAUUUCCACAAAAAUUGUGUGUUAUUACUCCUUCCGUCUCAUAUUAUCUGUUGUUUUUCAUUUCUCGAUAUUCAAAUUACUAAAUUACUAAUCCAAUUUAACUUCAAAAUUAACCAAAUUGGCAUUUCAAAAAGAAAAUCGACACUUGUUUUGACAAAAAGUGAAUUCUUACAAAAGUAGAACCCAAAAGGAAUAACACUUAAUUAAUAAUUAUAUUCAAUUAUAAAAUUAUGAUUUAAAGUAAUUAGUACUUAAAAAAUGAGGAUUUAACUUUUAUAAUUUGACCUCCAUUAUUACAUUUAAAGCUAUUUUAUAAAAAGGGAAAAACAAUAAAAAAAUCAAAAAACACCUAUAUGAAAAUGACCAACAAAUUCCUCAAAAAGAAAAGGGACACAAAAAUGUCUUACUCUAUUACAAGUUGAGUAGUAAGCAAUAUAUAUAGGGAGAUGGGACAACAAUAUCCUAAUCUCUUAAGAUUUCUCGACAUGUCAUGUCAAUUGUUUGCUACCAUAAAUACUAGAGUUAAUACAUAAAAAUAAAAAUGAUCAUAAAUCUGAAACUAAAUUAUAAUUUUGACCUUAAACUUUGAUAGUGCACAAAUAUGACCUUUAACUAUUCAAAACUGCACAAAUAUGACCUCCCUCCAAGUCAGUCCUUUUAACGAUGUGGCACCGUGUGAUUGGAUUACCUUUCCACGUAGGCGCGAGUGAAACUCACGCAUGGGAUUGCAAAAUCGGAGAUCAUAUUUGUUCAGAUUUUGAAUACUUAAAAAUCCUAUUUGUGCACUAUUAAAGUUUAAGGUCAAAAUUAUAAUUUGGUAUCAAGUUUAUGAUCAUUUUUAUGUAUUAACUCUAAAUAUUAUUAUCAUGACGGAUUCAAAAUCUAAAUUUUAUAAAUUCGAAAAGACAUUAUAGUAAAUCAUUGAUCAUAUGAGUUAUCCAUCAAAAGUUUAGUAUUUAUAUGUAGUUAGUAGAUCUCUUAACAUAUAUACAUUAUCUUCUAAGAAAUCACAAAUUGAAAAAUCUUGUUUGUGGCGACAUUCUUGUGUAAACAUUUAAACUUUGUAGACUCUUCAAGAAAAAUUCAAAUUUUGUUAGAGUUCUAGGAGUCUACUUUACCCUAAAUUUCGCCUAUUUAAAGAGUAAUAUAUUUCCGAAACAGACAUCUUGAAUAUCUCAUAAACUGAUGGAUAUUUGUAAAAAGAUCAGGAUCUCCAAUAUUUCACAAAAUCAUGAGAUAUUCAUAAAGAGAUCAUCCUAUGUUCAAGAAAUAAGCCACUAACGGCCCUCGAAUUACGGAGAAAAUCAAGAGACAAGAAUGGGAGGGACAGAUUUGUACUCACGUCGUCUAUGUUUCUUCAUAUUUUUAUUUGUGUUUGAAGUUUAUUUUACAUGAAUUAAAUUAUGUUGGAAACAAAUUGGCACGCCCAGUGGAACCAAAUCUUCCCUUCAUCUCUUCUCUCAUAAAUCAAAUCUGCAAAUCUAUAGCCUAUAGCCGCCGCAUAAGCUCUAUUGGUACUUCAAGACUCGUCAUCAAACCUACACUUCGACAAGCCUUGAAGUAGGGGCAUUUGUAAACAUCUAAAAUUUGUAGGCUCUUCAAGAAAAAAUUCAAAUUCUGUUAGAGUUCUAUGAGGCUACUUUACCCUAAAUUCCGCCUAUUUAAAGGGUAACAUAUUCCUUAAAACAGACAUCUUGAAUAUCCCAUAAACUGACGGGUAUUCGUAAAAAGAUUGGGAUCUCCAAUAUCCUACAAAAUCAUGGGAUAUUCAUAAAUAAAUCAUCCUAUAUUAGAGAAAUACGCCACUAACGGCUCUCGAAUUAAGGAGAAAAUCAAGAGAGAAGAAUCAAGGUAGAAACAGAUUUGUACUCAUGUCGUUUAUGUUUCUUCAUUUUUUUAUUUAUGGUUGAAGUUUAUUUUACAUGAAUUAAAUUAUGUUGGAAACAAAUUGGCACGCCCAGUGAGAGCAAAUCUGUCAUUCAUCUUUUCUAUCAUAAAUCAGAUCUGCAAAUCUAUAGCCGCCGCAUAAAAAUGGAAGCUCAUUGAUCUUUCAAUACUCGUCAUCAAACCUAUACUUGGACAAGCCUUGAAAUAGGGGCAUUUGUAGACAUCUAAGAUUUGUGGGAUUCUUCAAGAAGAAUCAAAUUUGGUUAGAGUUCUAGGAGGCUACUUUAUCCUAAAUCCCAUCUAUUUAAAGGGUAACAUAUUCCCUAAAACAG